rnacentral:lncRNA from 1 species
UUUGACGAAAUAGGCCUUGACAAGGUGCAUGCAUAUUUUGGAAGUCUAAUUUAAUUUCAAUUUUCAAUCCGAUCUUGAGCACUUUUGCAUACCGCUUUGAGACUAUUUUUAUGAUUCCACUGAAGUCUAUUUAACCAUUUGUUACUGGUCAUUAUAGAACUAACUCCCUAUUAUACAAAAUUUCUGUGUUUUUGUGAUUGGAUCUGUUAGAAAGAAGUAACUACUUUGCAUGAGUCAUUAGCUAUCUACAAAACAAAUUAAAA